UACGUAGGGUCCGAGCGUUGUCCGGAAUUACUGGGCGUAAAGCGUGCGCAGGCGGUUUUGCAAGCCGGAUGUGAAAUCCCCGGGCUCAACCUGGGAAUGGCAUUCGGGACUGCAAGGCUGGAGUGCGGCAGAGGAGACUGGAAUUCCUGGUGUAGCAGUGAAAUGCGUAGAUAUCAGGAGGAAUACCGAUGGCGAAGGCAGGUCUCUGGGCUGACACUGACGCUCAUGCACGAAAGCGUGGGGAGCAAACAGG
rnacentral:rRNA from 1 species